rnacentral:rRNA from 1 species
AAGCCCGCAAGGGUAAGUAGAGUGGCGCACGGGUGAGUAACACGUGGACAACCUGCCUUCGAGUGGGGAAUAACCUUCCGAAAGGAGGGCUAAUACCGCAUAACACCUCGGGACACAAGUUCUGGGGUUGAAAAGAGCAAUUUGCUCGAAGAGGGGUCCGCGCCUGAUUAGCUAGUUGGUGAGGUAACGGCUCACCAAGGCUUCGAUCAGUAGCCGUCCUGAGAGGGAGCACGGCCACACUGGAACUGAGGCACGGUCCAGACUCCUACGGGAGGCAGCAGUGGGGAAUUUUUGGCAAUGGGCGAAAGCCUGACCAAGCAACGCCGCGUGGGUGAUGAAGUAUCUUGGU